ACUCAAAUGAAUAGACGGGGGCCCGCACAAGCGGUGGAGUAUGUGGUUUAAUUCGACGCAACGCGAAGAACCUUACCAGCCUUUGACAUGUCUUGUAUGGGUCUAGGAGACUAGAUCCUUCGGUUCGGCCGGCAAGAACACAGGUGCUGCAUGGCUGUCGUCAGCUCGUGUCGUGAGAUGUUGGGUUAAGUCCCGCAACGAGCGCAACCCUCAUCUUCAGUUGCCCCCAGGUAAUGCUGGGCACUCUGAAGAAACCGCCGGUGACAAGCCGGAGGAAGGCGGGGAUGACGUCAAGUCCUCAUGGCCCUUACAGGCUGGGCUACACACGUACUACAAUGGUGGUGACAGUGGGCUGCGAAGGAGCGAUCCGGAGCCAAUCCCCAAAAACCAUCUCAGUUCAGAUUGCACUCUGCAACUCGAGUGCAUGAAGUUGGAAUCGCUAGUAAUCGCAAAUCAGCACGCUGCGGUGAAUACGUUCCCGGGCCUUGCACACACCGCCCGU
rnacentral:rRNA from 1 species